AAAAGAGUGUAAGACAAUGGCUUGUUUCUUUAUCUUUCAAGAAAUAGGAGAAGAACCAUGGAAAAUACAAGAACCAGUAGGAGAGUGUCGAGUCAUGGGGUAGCUAGCCCAAUCUAAGUUACAAUAAGUUAUGUGAUGAAGAUAGUUAGAAGAAAAAAAGAAUAUUUUGGCGAGAGGUGCCUUUAGGAUAGCAAAGUGGAGAGUGGCAUCA
rnacentral:lncRNA from 1 species